rnacentral:rRNA from 1 species
AGAGUUUGAUCCUGGCUCAGAUUGAACGCUGGCGGCAUGCCUUACACAUGCAAGUCGAACGGUAACAGGUCUUCGGAUGCUGACGAGUGGCGAACGGGUGAGUAAUACAUCGGAACGUGCCCGAUCGUGGGGGAUAACGGAGCGAAAGCUUUGCUAAUACCGCAUACGAUCUACGGAUGAAAGCAGGGGACCGCAAGGCCUUGCGCGGACGGAGCGGCCGAUGGCAGAUUAGGUAGUUGGUGGGAUAAAAGCUUACCAAGCCGACGAUCUGUAGCUGGUCUGAGAGGACGACCAGCCACACUGGGACUGAGACACGGCCCAGACUCCUACGGGAGGCAGCAGUGGGGAAUUUUGGACAAUGGGCGAAAGCCUGAUCCAGCCAUGCCGCGUGCAGGAUGAAGGCCUUCGGGUUGUAAACUGCUUUUGUACGGAACGAAAAGACUCCUUCUAAUAAAGGGGGUCCAUGACGGUACCGUAAGAAUAAGCACCGGCUAACUACGUGCCAGCAGCCGCGGUAAUACGUAGGGUGCAAGCGUUAAUCGGAAUUACUGGGCGUAAAGCGUGCGCAGGCGGUUAUAUAAGACAGAUGUGAAAUCCCCGGGCUCAACCUGGGAACUGCAUUUGUGACUGUAUAGCUAGAGUACGGCAGAGGGGGAUGGAAUUCCGCGUGUAGCAGUGAAAUGCGUAGAUAUGCGGAGGAGCACCGAUGGCGAAGGCAAUCCCCUGGGCCUGUACUGACGCUCAUGCACGAAAGCGUGGGGGAGCAAACAGGAUUAGAUACCCUGGUAGUCCACGCCCUAAACGAUGUCAACUGGUUGUUGGGAAUUCACUUUCUCAGUAACGAAGCUAACGCGUGAAGUUGACCGCCUGGGGAGUACGGCCGCAAGGUUGAAACUCAAGGAAUUGACGGGGACCCGCACAAGCGGUGGAUGAUGUGGUUU